AUACGAAAGGUGCAAGCGUUGUUCGGAUUUACUGGGCGUAAAGAGAGUGUAGGUGGUUUAUUAAGUCGGAUGUGAAAUCCCGGGGCUCAACCUCGGAACUGCAUUCGAUACUGAUAGGCUAGAGUUUGGGAGGGGUAAGCGGAAUUCCGUGUGUAGCAGUGAAAUGCGUAGAUAUACGGAGGAACACCUGAGGCGAAGGCGGCUUACUGGACCAAUACUGACACUGAGACUCGAAAGCGUGGGUAGCAAACAGGAUUAGAUACCCUUGUAGUCC
rnacentral:rRNA from 1 species